rnacentral:lncRNA from 1 species
AGCGGGGGAAGGAAAACACCCUUCACUCCUACCCCAGCUACCAACGCAGAGGGCAGAGACGCCCAGCCACAGGGACUGCGCCCCCACCUCGGCGACCAGACUUGCGCGCGCGACCUGGGCCAUUCUGUGCUGCUGCUCCUGUCCUUGGUGACAUUUUUGUUCAACAGCCAGCUUUUCUCUGCUGUUCAGCAAGUCUCGACUGCUGCGAAGGUGUGGGCCACAUCCUCCGCCACCAAAGCGCGAAACGCGUCAACUUCCCCCGCCACCCCGACAACAAUCAAGUUCUCAGAGGGGACACCUAGAAGGGGGCGCUGCCCCUCCUCGGCGGCAGAGCCCGACCCCGGCCGCUGCCUGAGCCCCCCACCCCGUUCCAGCCCACCAGACGGGCUCCCUCCUCCCAGGAACCUGCCCUCCCUGCCUCGGCAGGUCGCUCGCGGCCUCGACCCAAACAGAUCUGCCUCCCGAGGGCGCGUUCCCAUUCAGACGCGACGCGACCCCCGUCCGCGACGGCAGCCCCAACGCUGCCGGGGGUGUUUUGAGGCUGCAGCCCCCUGCCCUGGGGCGGCGCCCCGGACCUUCCAACCCUCAGCGCGCAGGGGGACUGCCCGCGGGCCCCCUCCCCGCCCCCGGCCCGGCGCCCACCUGCCGUUGGGGCGCGAGGACCCUCCCGCUCCCGCGCCCGCACCCGCGGGGGGCUUCUCGGCGCCGCCAUGCCGGCCGCGCGCUGCGGACGGGCGCGGAGCCUCCUCCGUCGGUCAGUCAGACGCCGCGGCCGCCCGCCGGCGCCGGGGAUCGCUUCCCCGCGGCUGGCUGGCUCGAGAGGCGCGGGGUGGGGACCGCGGUCGGCGCUCCCGCCCGGGAGAGCCCGGGGGCCGACCGACGCGCGGGGCCGCCAAUGGGAGGCCGCGGCGGAGGUGGGCGGGCUCUCGGGCGGAGAUGGGCGGGGCCUCCGCGCACAGACGGGGUCUACCGUCGGCAGCUUCGGGCUCCCGGCGCUGUGCGCGCAGCGUGGAAGCCGCUCCUGGGUUCCCGUCGCUGCUCCUCCGGAGACGUCCUGGGGUUUCCACCUGGACGGAUUCCGCGACCUCUCUGGCACUUUACAUCGAAAGCCCAUUGAGUGGGAAUCAAAGAAACGUGGUGCGUGGGAUGAUGGGGGAGAGGGACAGGUGCCUUUUCCCUCUCCACGGCGAGGGUGCAGAAGGAUUGCCAUCCCUGGCCGAGACAAGAACCCGCUGA